CUGGGUGAACUCUCUUCCCUCAUGCAGAGUGUGGAGGCAAAUUCCUCUCUGAAUUCCUAGUGAGUGCAGUCCAAGUGCUGGAGGGUGAGGAUGAGAAGCUGGGUUAGAAUCUGGAGGAGGGGACAACUUAUCCCAGCCAGCAAAGGCAAUGGGAAACAGGCAGAACCUGUAGCCCAGUUCAUCUCUGUGGUCACCUGCAUGGCACCAGGAAAACAGGACUCUGAACCCCAGUAUGCAGUGUGACAUAUACUCUACUAGGAGGUCAAAAAUUGAUGUUGAAUUAAUGAGAGAAGGAAUUAUUCAUCUGGACUUUUUUGCAAAGACAAUUAACCUGGGAAGAAAGUCUCAGACAAGCCCUUCCUUUUUCUGAGCAAAUUCUUUAUUGUUUUCUAAUUUUUCCUUUGGUGCUUUUUGUCCCCUAGACUUUGGCUUCUUUAUUUCCAUUAAACCCCAGAGUUUGGAAAAGCAGACCCUCAGACUCCACAGCAGAGCUCCAGAAUGCUGCCCCAGGUUGGACUGGAUGCACUUUCUUUGCCAAAGCUUCUGUGGUGGUCCUGAUGCACUCCCGUGGUCAAGGGUCACCCACCUGAAGACCUGCACCCCUCCACAUCCGCUGAGCAUGAAUCUCCAUGAGAGCAGGACUCCACUGAAGCAGAAAUCCAGAGCCAAGAAAGACACAGGGUUUCCGGGGAUGGCAUUAGCCCAGGGCCCUGUUCAUUGUUUUGUGGAUGUGGAAACCAAAGCCAGAAGGACAGGUGACUUGCUCAGGGGCAUCCCCUCCAGGAGAUCACAUGGCACCUGUACCUUCUUGCAGAAUCCUGUGCAAAGGAAGUCAGCCCUGAUGGGGUAAGAUUCUAAAGAUGUUAUAGAUUAAGCUGGGUUUUCCCUGGUAUCCAUGGAAUUGCAGAAUUUUUAAACUGAAGGGACUUCAGGAAGAAGGACAACUGGGAAAAAGGAGUCACCUAUACUGUACCACCCACCCCCCUGAGAGAUUUAUUUCACUUAAUCUUCGGAUUAAAUGAAGCAUUAUUAUUUCAUGUUUCCAAUGAGAGAAUGACGACUCAGGUGAUGAAGGUAAAUUCCCCCAAGAUCAUAUAACGUGUAAGUUGCAGAACUAGGACUCAAACUCACAAUCUUCUGGCUUCAAGUCACCACUCCCUGAGAGGAAUCUAGAGACAGUCUAUCUACCAGGUUCAUUUUCUUCACUUGUUAGGUGAACAAAUGUGGUCUGCAGAGCUCAAUGGCUUCACCAAGGUCAAGAGUGAGUGAAUGGCAUGGCUGGGGCUGCUCUGGUCCAUGUGUUUUCCAUGCCAGAGGGUGGCCUCCUGGAGUUCUUUGGUGAUGCCUCUAGCUCUGGGUGACACCAGGCUGGUGGAGGCAGAUCAUAUGGACCAGGGAUGGAGACCCUCAUGCCACUGCUCCCUCUUCAUGGCAUCCCAAGCUCCAGGAGUCCCUUUGGAUCAGACCAAACCACAGUCACCUUCCAGAAGGAGCCACUGGGGUGGCCAUCAAAGGCUGGGGACACACAAGCUUGGGGCAGUGGUCCAGGGGUAGAGGCCUCCAGUCUUAGGACCUUCCCCUCCUCAUGGCCCCUGGGUCUCUCUUCUUACUUUGGGGUGCUGGCUUUUCCUUUGCUGGUUAGAACUGUGGUCCAUGGAUUUCACUCAGGGCCACCCCAAGGGAGGAGUGAUGAGGGUGACCCAGUUCCUCAUUGCCGGCCUCUCCACCCUCCACUGCCUGCCUUGCUCCGUAACAUUUCUGUGAGCUUCCAGCACACACCAGCAGCGAGCCCAUCUUCUGAUUAGUUUCAGCCUGGUAAGUCCUUCCUGCCGCUGAACCACCUGUCUCCCGAGAGGACCUACAGCCAACGCCUCCCACACCAGAUGGCCACCCCCUCCUGCCCCUCCGUAGUGUUCCAGCCAAGGCCAGGCCCGGCAUGGACAGAAGAGGACCUGAGUGGCUGCGGCCAAGGUCAAAGUGGCCAUCUGGACACAGGUAUCAGCAGUGUGGAGGGGCUGCCCCAGAAAUGACUUUAGCGGGGGAGAUGUUUCUCAGGCAUUCAGCUCUUGGUUUUCUAUUGGUCUCCCUUCAAAAUUGCCCCAGCAGGUAGGCAGAGCACCUGAUGGAUGCCUUCAGCAGCACCUCCUUGGUCAGGGUGAGUCUUCCCUCAGUAACCCCUGCGGGAAAAUAAUCCUAUUUCUUUUUCAGCUAGAAGCUUGAGCACCGGGGACCCCGACUCUGCUUAUUCAAGGCCCAUGAGGCAUGAUACUCAAGUUCACGGUCAGCAAACUCCCUGUUCAAACCACAGCUCCUCUUCCCCAGAUUCUACCUGCCCCCAUUCUGAGUUCUGAAUUGUUUCCAGUGCCAUCAUACCUAAAGACUUCCUUUUAGCUAUUCGACUUGCCCUCCCAUGGUGGGUCAGUCAAAUUAAAAUGUGGGGUACAUUAUUGUACGAAAUGUUUACAAAAUAGAAAACCGAAGAAGAAACUAUGCUUUGUUUUCUGAACAGUUUGAAACCUAAACAGAUUUCUUUUCAAUUCUCUUAUUUUUCUAUGUGUACACAAGAAGGCCAUUGAGAUGGCCUUGCAAGAAGCUUUAGACCAGACCCUCUCCCUUCAGGUCCUGUUGGUGGUUAUAUAUUCUGAAUUUUUUUCUUAAAAAAACAAAAAGCCAGAAAAACCCCACUGCAUUCUGUGUUUCCAAGCCAUCACAACCCAUUUCUUAUUCUAAGCAAGUGAACAAACAUUUGUCUUCAAGGCCAAGAUGUCAGUGUUUUAAAAAAAGUGUUUUAGAAAAGAAAAUGCAAACCCAUAACUCCAAGCCUAGGCAAGGACAGCUACAUGCGUUAGCUAAUGCAUAAUUGCAGACUAUUCCCUGCUUUUUCCUUAUGCUUUUAUUACCCCCAAAAGGAGCUCCAAGUGAAAUAUUAAUAAUAUUACUACUGUAAUAUUAUUACACAUUAUUACCUCCGCAAUGGUAGCUGCAGAAGGGCAGCUUUGUUUUCAUUCCAAUGUGACCUACAUUGGAUUCAUUUUUCCAAAAUGGCACCAGAAAUGUCUUAUCCAUUUCCUCAGUAACUGGUGAAAUAGAACAAAUAAGACUGAUCAUUUUCUUCUAUGAGAGAUACAUUUGAGUAAAGCAAUCUUGUGCCUAUGGGGGAUGGUGGGGGAAAUUGGCAUAAGUGAAUUAAAUGUUGGACUUGCAGUUCUAUUGGACUUCAGACAAACAUCUAUGCUGAUUGAACACUGAUUUGCUGGCAUUCCUCAAAUCACAGUUCUGCCAUCUCAGCAUCCCAACUCUUGCAAUCUUUUCCAUGUGCUUCUUUAUGGAUGGGCAAAUCACCUGACCGUAGCUGCCUGGAACCAAGCUGGCAUUGCAGUUUUGCCAUUCUUAUUCAGUGUCAUCUGAUGCCUGCCGUCACUUGCCAGCCUCAUUUACGCAUUGCCAGUUCUGGGGGGGGGAAUCAAAUCUAAUUUGAGCACUAUUUUAUCUGCUUAUUUUACCCACAGAUGUGAGUCCAUUUUUCUGUAGAUUAUAUAAGUAUUUAAGCUUUCAUUCCAACUGUUUGUCAGCACUUACUACAACAGACAACCAACUAGACAACCCCCACAGUGCCAGAAAUACCUUUGCGUGAACCUUAUUAUCAAAAAUAGAAUGCAAUCAAGACCAGUGGAGGUUACAGUAAAGUCACCAAAAAUGACUCAAACGUCCCUCUGAGCUAGCUCCUAUGUUCUGAAAAUAUGUGGUGGGUGGAACGAGUCUUUUAUAUUCCCAGAUUUGGCUCCUCCAAGUGAAAUAUUAAUAUUAUUACUGUUGCAUUUGGCAAUAUGAAGAAGCUUCCAGUAAUAAGCUGAACAGACAAAGACAUCUGUAUUCACUGCAGGUUUUCAGAACCACAAUUUAUGUGGUCAUGUAGGUGUGAGUCCCCGGGCACAUAAGUUGAUCAGGGAGUUACUGAAACCCUUGAGGAUAACUCAUUCACUCAAAGGAAGAAUCACUGGGGAAAGUGAAUAAAGCACUAUGUCAGCAAAACGUUGCUACUGUGAAUCAGGACUCAGUUACUCUUUCUGGCUGGAUGAUCUCAGAUGCAAAUGACUUAAUGUGGGUAUCCAGGAAGUCAAUGGGUAGAAAUAUGACAUUUCAUAGGUGUAAAGCCUAUGUCUCUGACUGCACGCAAUUUUAGUCUGAUGAAUGCCUAUGGUUUUCUGGUGGGCUUUGUGAAGUGGGUUGCCUUGUGGUAUUGGAGCUUAUGCUCCGCAAGGGUUUCAAGAACUUCCUGAUCACUGGAAGCUUCUUCAUAUUGUCAAAUGCAACAGUAGUAGUAGUAUUAAUACUUCAUUUGGAGGAGCCAAAAUUGGGAACAUAGAAGGCUCAUUUCACCCACCACACACUUUUAAAACGUAUGAGCUAGCUCAGAGGGACAUUUGGGUAAUUUUUGGUGACUUUACUGUAACCUCCGCUGCUCUUGAUUGCAUUCUAUUUUCGAUAAUGAGGUCCGUGCAAAGGUAUUUCUGGCACCAUGGGAUUGUCUGUUUGGUUGUCUGUUGCAGUAAGUGCUGACAGACAGCAAGAUGGGAAAGUGAUGAUUGCAGUGGCCUGUUCCGCAGGGAGACCAAGAGGAAGACUGAUUAAAGACCAACAGAGCGAGGAGCAGUGUGGGAGCAGCCCCUGCCCAAUGGGCUUUGGUGGCCUAGAGCCAUGAGAAGGUCCCUGCACCUCACCCUGCCACAAUAGUGACCUUUAGGAAAUUUAAGUUGCCCUGAACCCCAUGCGCCCAGCUUGCCACAUCCAAAAGUUAAGUACAUAAGCUGAAGUUUGUGGUUCAGGUCUAAAACAGAGGCAGAAACAGUGGGGGUGGGGGGGGCAGUGAGGGUUGACUUUAAAACCUGAAGGGCCCUAGAAGGAGAGGGUUCUGGUGGGCAGAGGGCAUGCAGGGGAACAGGACUGCCACCUCUCCACUCUGCAUAACCCCAGGAAGCCUGGAAAAUGGAGGCUCUUUGCGUAGAACCAUCCUGGGUUCUCUCCAUCCUCUUUAUCACAUAAGUCAGCAAGAUGAAUGAAGCAAGAAACCUCUGUGCUCCUCAGAUGAAGCUUCUAUCUGCUGAUGGCAUUGUUAUUCUCAUCUAUGGCUGAGAUGUCUGGGUGAGGGAAUUUCUUCUGGAUAAGAAGACGUCCUUCUUUUAGGGCCAUUUGGGGUUUGUGUAGAGGUAAUCCACUAAACAGAAUUCUGGGCUCAGGAAUGGGUUUCCCACCCAUUAAAUGCUUAAAUCUUGAGGUUUGCUGGCUCCUGAUGGCCGGCUCCUUCCAUCUCUCUGGCUCCUAGGCCUGCUACUGGAGCUCUGGAGGACAGCACUGUCUCCCUACAGCAAGGGUUGGCAAUCUUCUUCUGGAAAGGGCCAGAUAGCAAAUAUUUUCAGCUUUGCGGGCCAAUGUUUGUAGCACCUACUCGAAUCUGCUGUUAUUGUGUGAAAGUGGCCACAGACAACACACGAACGAGUGGACGGAGGGUAUUAGUUUGCUGACUUCUGGCCCAGGUGAUGUUGGUUAGUCAACUGGGUCAGGCAAUAAAUCCUCCAUUUAUUUAA